rnacentral:rRNA from 1 species
ACUGAAUAGAUACCCUGGUAGUCCUGGCAGUAAACGGUGCGCGUUUGGUGUGGGAGGAUUCGACCCCUUCUGUGCCGGAGCUAAACGCGUUAAACGCGCCGCCUGGGGAGUACGGUCGCAAGAUUAAAACUCAAAGAAAUUGACGGGGGCCCGCACAAGCGGUGGAGUAUGUGGCUUAAUUCGAUGCAACGCGAAGAACCUUACCUAGCCUUGACAUGCAUCUCUAAGUCGGUGAAAGCCGGCGACCAUAGCAAUAUGGAAUUUGCACAGGUGCUGCAUGGCUGUCGUCAGCUCGUGUCGUGAGAUGUUGGGUUUAAGUCCCGCAACGAGCGCAACCCCUGUGAACUGUUGCCACCACACUACGGUGUGAGCACUCUGUUCAGACUGCCCUGUGAAACGGGGAGGAAGGUGGGGAUGACGUCAAGUCAGCAUGGCCCUUACGGCUAGGGCUGCACACGUACUACAAUGCUCAGUACAGAACGAACCGAAACCGCGAGGUGGAGGAAAUCCCGAAAACUGAGCUCAAUUC